rnacentral:piRNA from 1 species
AGGAAUAGAAGUGUCUUCCUAAAGGUGUA